UACAGAGGGUGCAAGCGUUGUUCGGAAUUACUGGGCGUAAAGCGCACGUAGGCGGCUUUGUAAGUUAGAGGUGAAAGCCCGGGGCUCAACUCCGGAAUUGCCUUUAAGACUGCAUCGCUAGAAUUGUGGAGAGGUAAGUGGAAUUCCGAGUGUAGAGGUGAAAUUCGUAGAUAUUCGGAAGAACACCAGUGGCGAAGGCGACUUACUGGACACAUAUUGACGCUGAGGUGCGAAAGCAUGGGGAGCGAACAGG
rnacentral:rRNA from 1 species